AUUGAACGCUGGCGGCAUGCUUUACACAUGCAAGUCGAACGGCAGCGCGGGGCAACCUGGCGGCGAGUGGCGAACGGGUGAGUAAUACAUCGGAACGUACCCAGAAGUGGGGGAUAACGUAGCGAAAGUUACGCUAAUACCGCAUACGUUCUACGGAAGUAAGUGGGGGACCUUCGGGCCUCAUGCUUUUGGAGCGGCCGAUGUCUGAUUAGCUAGUUGGUGAGGUAAAGGCUCACCAAGGCGACGAUCAGUAGCUGGUCUGAGAGGACGACCAGCCACACUGGGACUGAGACACGGCCCAGACUCCUACGGGAGGCAGCAGUGGGGAAUUUUGGACAAUGGGCGCAAGCCUGAUCCAGCAAUGCCGCGUGAGUGAAGAAGGCCUUCGGGUUGUAAAGCUCUUUUGUCAGGGAAGAAACGGCUGAGGAUAAUACCUUCGGCUAAUGACGGUACCUGAAGAAUAAGCACCGGCUAACUACGUG
rnacentral:rRNA from 1 species